GGUCCAAGCCACAUCGUCGACAGCUAAACGAUGGUGAUCGGCGAUGCUAUGAUUGAACCGAAAGAAAUUCCAUUUGCACGUAGAUAGGAACCUGUAAACCAAUUUUUGAUCUAUUUAUCUAUGGAGCCGAUUUUUGUGACUACAAUU
rnacentral:snoRNA from 1 species